GUAGGUGAACCUGCGGAAGGAUCAUUACCGUACCGUUUUCGGGGGAUUAUUCCCUGGAUCCACUGUGCACCAGGCUGCGGCCCGCCGAGGGCCGCGUUUGGAGAGGUCGCCCUCGGGUGCGAAGGCGACGCGAGUCGGCGAGAGAGAUCCCUCUGCCGGCCUCUCCGACGCGGUUCAGGGCCGCAGUUCUCAUUUUUUUUUUUUUCAAUCACGUACCGUGGAGUUACCUAGCGGGUCGAGUUUCGUUUCG
rnacentral:misc_RNA from 1 species